AUUUGCUCCUCUCGUUCUCUCUCUUCACUUCUGAAAUAAAGUUGCUCUGCAACUUCUUCUUCUUCUCCGUCACUCUCCUCACGGCCAAACCUGUCGGAGAAGACGGUGGCGGCCGGCCAACCGCGGCGGCGCCGCCCUCUUCUCCGGCGACUCUUCACCCCAAACUCAAACUUUAAAACACGAAUCCCACUUGUUUUUGGCCGGAGAUUCCAAAUCCAGCCUCAGUUUUUUCAAAAUCCGCUUCAAUCAACCGGAUUGGCGUAAUGAACAAGAAGCAUAUGGAUUUAAAGCAAGGAAAGGAAAGAAGAAAGACUACUUGGCCUGAGUUGCGUCCGGCGACGUGAGCUUUUCGUCGCUUGUAGAGAUAAGUUCUUCUCCUCUUUUUAAAUCUUUUUCGCCUUCUUCUAUUCUUCCUUCUUCUUUUGGGUUUUGAAUCCUGUUGUUGCUGGCUGUCUUGGUCUCUUUGAAUGCUUAUGAGUUAAAAUGUUUAAAAUUAUUUUUUGAUCUCUUCUUGGAUUCUCGAAAACAUCUCUGUUUUGUUGUUUAGGGUUUGAGGUUAAUUCUAAAAAAAUGUGUGUUGUGUUGUUUGGGAUUUGAUGUUGACAGAGAAAUAUUUUGAUAACUUCUUCUUAGAUUUUCCAGUCUGUUCUUUGUUUUGGUUUGAGGUUAACAGAGAAAAGUAAUUUGAUUGUUUUCUCUUAGAUUUUUCAAAACAUUUUUUUUAUUACUGUUAAUUUGUUGUUGUUAUAUAUGUGAUGAAUCCUGAGGUUCUGAGAUAACUUGUUAAGUUAUCCUUUUUCCAGAUUUUGUGGGAUAAUCACCUUAUGAAUUUAAGGUUGUUGAUGUGGAUAUUGCAAAGUGUUCUUGAGUGUUCUCCUUGGUUUACUGUGUAACCAAUUAAUCUGCUUACUUUAUCAUUUAUUUUUCAGCUUUUUAAGUGCUUAUUUGAUAAGCUGUUUUUAAAUUAUGAAUUGGUUUUGCAGGUUUGCAAAAAGUGAAUGGACAUUGAUUGAAAAGUGGUCUGCUUUUGGAUUUGGGGCGCUGUAAUUAGGGAUUGGAAUUGGGCGCUUGGGAAUUUCAAGAAACUUUUGGAAAAGUCUUUUGAAGAGUUGCUUCAAACUGCUGUAUUUUACAGCUUAUCUCCAACUUUUCAACUUCCUAGCUGUAACAGAACUUUUGGGCAUGUUAUAUAUUUUAAUUUUAAAAAAAAAUUAUUGUGAUAAUUAUGUAAAUACUUUGGAUUAUUAUAUAAACUUGGAAUUAAUUGGAA